rnacentral:lncRNA from 1 species
CCAGCUCAAUUUAUAUUUGGGUAGGACGUGGUCUCAUUCUCUACCUCUAGCUCAACAAAGUGUCUGAACAACCAAAAAACAUAGUACUAGCCAAGACAAAGAGGAUAGAUGGAUGAAUAGUAGAGUUGUAAAGAAAGGUGUGUGCAUGGCGUGUUGGGGAUGGGAGGCCAAAGGAAAGUUGAUACAACUGCGUGGCCCUGUCAUACGGACAAGUAGAGCAGAAGCAACAAGGUAGAUGAAUGAUUACUUGCUUGCUGCGUACCACCCAGCUGCUCAAUGGUGAUGCGGAGUUGCUACAAUAAAAUUUGCAUGGUCGAAGAGGCAUGCAGGAUGUGGGUCUUGGCAUUGGGAGUCACUUCAACCAGGCGGAACAGCUCGGCUUGGACAGGUACACAGCGGAUUGAUUUUGCUCGAGCUAGUAUAUAAAUGCCAUAUGUUCACACUGCAAAUUUAAAUAGUUGUGCAGAGGAGCUUGAGCAAAUUGCUUCAUGUGAGGACAGUUUAAUAUUUACAUAAAAAAUAAUUUAAAAGUCACCAACGUGGCUAUUGUACCUGGGGCUUAAUUUGUUUUGAUCACAUUCCUACCAAGGUAGCUAGGUUAUGAUUUCCUAAUGACAUAGGGCGCAAGUGCCAAGACCACUCGAUGCCAAUGAAAACGUCUUUGUGGUGAGAUGCCUCAGGAAGACAUCACGUAUGACCAAAUGAAGGGAUGUUCAGUUGACCAAAUGAAGCUGAUUUCUCGGUGAUCUUGAUUUUCAGGAGUGAAUUUGUCCUAGAACCCUCAGUAUGAAGGCCUGAUGGAGCUGCUCGAUGGUCCUAGAGACCCAGGAUUCAAUCAGACUGAACUGCUCGACCUCGACACAGCUGAUUGAUGAUGCACGAUCUUGUCUCGUGUUAGCAACACGCCUCUGAAGACCGUCAGCUGCGUCGGCUAGCUUCGUCACCAGGGGCAUCUGAAGCAUUGUCCGCGCCCAGGAACAGGAGGAACCACCAGUCUAUCUCACACUAUGCCAGCCCAGCUUGGACUAGUAGAUCGUUUCACAUGUCUGCUUGUAACAGGAGAGAAAGAGGGGAG